rnacentral:tRNA from 1 species
UCCCUGAUAGCUCAGUUGGUAAAGAAUCCGCCUGCAAUGCAGAAGACCUUGGUUCAAUUCCUGUCAGGAAG